rnacentral:rRNA from 1 species
GACGAACGCUGGCGGCGUGCUUAACACAUGCAAGUCGAACGGAAAGGCCCUGCUCUUGUGGGGCGCUCGAGUGGCGAACGCGUGAGUAACACGCGAGUAACCUGCCCUUGUCUUUGGGAUAACUCCAGGAAACUGGGGCUAAUACCGGAUAGGAGCUCCUGCUGCACGGUGGGGGUUGGAAAGUUUCGGCGGUUGGGGAUGGACUCGCGGCUUAUCAGCUUGUUGGUGGGGUAGUGGCUUACCAAGGCUUUGACGGGUAGCCGGCCUGAGAGGGUGACCGGCCACAUUGGGACUGAGAUACGGCCCAGACUCCUACGGGAGGCAGCAGUGGGGAAUAUUGCACAAUGGGCGGAAGCCUGAUGCAGCAACGCCGCGUGCGGGAUGACGGCCUUCGGGUUGUAAACCGCUUUCGCCUGUGACGAAGCGUGAGUGACGGUAAUGGAUAAAGAAGCACCGGCUAACUACGUG